GACGAACGCUGGCGGCGUGCUUAACACAUGCAAGUCGAACGAAGAGCGACGGAAGCUUGCUUCUAUCAAUCUUAGUGGCGAACGGGUGAGUAACGCGUAAUCAACCUGCCCUUCAGAGGGGGACAACAGUUGGAAACGACUGCUAAUACCGCAUACGAUCUAAUCUCGGCAUCGAGGAUGGAUGAAAGGUGGCCUCUACAUGUAAGCUAUCACUGAAGGAGGGGAUUGCGUCUGAUUAGCUAGUUGGAGGGGUAACGGCCCACCAAGGCGAUGAUCAGUAGCCGGUCUGAGAGGAUGAACGGCCACAUUGGGACUGAGACACGGCCCAGACUCCUACGGGAGGCAGCAGUGGGGAAUCUUCCGCAAUGGACGAAAGUCUGACGGAGCAACGCCGCGUGAGUGAUGACGGCCUUCGGGUUGUAAAGCUCGGUUAAUCGGGACGAAAGGCCUUCUUGCGAAUAGUGAGAAGGAUUGACGGUACCGGAAGAGAAAGCCACGGCUAACUACGUG
rnacentral:rRNA from 1 species